rnacentral:rRNA from 1 species
UAGGGAAUCUUCGGCAAUGGACGAAAGUCUGACCGAGCAACGCCGCGUGAGUGAAGAAGGUUUUCGGAUCGUAAAACUCUGUUGUUAGAGAAGAACAAGGACGUUAGUAACUGAACGUCCCCUGACGGUAUCUAACCAGAAAGCCACGGCUAACUACGUGCCAGCAGCCGCGGUAAUACGUAGGUGGCAAGCGUUGUCCGGAUUCAUUGGGCGUAAAGCGAGCGCAGGCGGUUUCUUAAGUCUGAUGUGAAAGCCCCCGGCUCAACCGGGGAGGGUGAUUGGAAACUGGGAGACUUGAGUGCAGAAGAGGAGAGUAGAAUUCCAUGUGUAGCGGUGAAAUGCGUAGAGAUAUGGAGGAACACCAGUGGCGAAGGCGGCUCUCUGGUCUGUAACUGACGCUGAGGCUCGAAAGCGUGGGGAGCAAACAGG